UACGUAGGGUGCAAGCGUUGUCCGGAUUUAUUGGGCGUAAAGAGCUCGUAGGCGGUCUGUCGCGUCGGAUGUGAAAACCCAGGGCUCAACCCUGGGCCUGCAUUCGAUACGGGCAGACUAGAGUAUGGCAGGGGAGACUGGAAUUCCUGGCGUAGCGGUGAAAUGCGCAGAUAUCAGGAGGAACACCGGUGGCGAAGGCGGGUCUCUGGGCCAAAACUGACGCUGAGGAGCGAAAGCGUGGGGAGCGAACAGG
rnacentral:rRNA from 1 species